GCCACCCUAGCUCAACGGUAGAGCAAUGCUUUCGUAAAGCAGAGGUUGUGGGUUCGAUUCCCACGGGUGGCU
rnacentral:tRNA from 1 species